GGGGGAAUUUUCCGCAAUGGGCGAAAGCCUGACGGAGCAAUGCCGCGUGAAGGAUGAAGGCCUAUGGGUUGUAAACUUCUUUUCUCAGAGAAGAAUUUUUGACGGUAUCUGAGGAAUAAGCAUCGGCUAACUCUGUGCCAGCAGCCGCGGUAAGACAGAGGAUGCAAGCGUUAUCCGGAAUGAUUGGGCGUAAAGCGUCUGUAGGUGGCUUAAAAAGUCUCCUGUCAAAGAUCAGGGCUUAACCCUGGGCCGGCAGGAGAAACUCUUAGGCUAGAGUUGGUAGGGGCAGAGGGAAUUCCCGGUGGAGCGGUGAAAUGCGUAGAGAUCGGGAGGAACACCAAAGGCGAAAGCACUCUGCUGGGCCAUAACUGACACUGAGAGAACGAAAGCGAGGGGAGCAAAAGGGAUUAGAUACCCCCUGUAGU
rnacentral:rRNA from 1 species